rnacentral:sRNA from 1 species
UCCGUAGGUGAACCUGCGGUUGGAUCAUUAAUACAUUUGUUAAUAUUCCGGGGGCAUGCGUGCCUCGGCGUAGGAACGCGCUUCUGCGUUUAGGACAUGUUUAUGUGGUAAAAGACAUAAAAUGUUCCGCCGAAGCUCGCAUGGCUCAUGGAAUGCCUGAAAAGGAAACAUCUUGUGAACUGUUCUGUUUCUGGCGGGGGAGUGGAGUUGCCUUCGGGCUCUCCGUUCGUCAGUUUGGGUUCUCCCAGGCCGUGGACAUCCCGCCAAACAUUUUAUUCAACCUAUGUCUUCAAUAAUUUGUCUGACAAUUUUUAUGUAUGUAAAUACAAACAACUUUUGGCAACGGAUCUCUUGGCUCUCGCAACGAUGAAGAACGCAGCGAAAUGCGAUAAGUAAUGUGAAUUGCAGAAUUCAGUGAAUCAUCGAAUCUUUGAACGCACAUUGCGCUCCCUGGUAUUCCGGGGAGCAUGCCCGUUUCAGAAUCAUUGAGCAUCUCACAAACCUUGUGUUUUCGAACAUGGGGCAAGUGGAUCUGGAUGCUUUGCAUUUUUGCAAGCAUCUGAAAAUGAUUGUAUGUGCACCAAUUGGUAUUGUCAGUUGGGUUCCAACGUGCAACAGAUUUAUCUAUUCCGCGGAGGCCAACCUUGAUUGACUGCCAGCCGGAGCGCAUGCUCACAAGCGAACACGGUGGUUGCAUUAUCUUGAUGUCGACUUCCGAUAACUUGGUCUGAAAUCGGGCAAGAAAACCCGCUGAACUUAAGCAUAUCAAUAAGCGGAGGAAAAGAAACUAACAAGGAUUCCCCUAGUAACGGCGAGUGAAGCGGGAACAGCUCAAAUUUGAAAUCUCACAGGGUUACCUGUGCGAAUUGUAGUUUAGAGAAGCGUUUUCGGGGGCGACUUGGGUAUAAGUCCUCUGGAAAGAGGCAUCAUAGAGGGUGACAAUCCCGUUUAUGAUCCAAUGUUCGCUCCUAUGUGACACGUUUUCUAAGAGUCAGGUAGUUUGGGAUUGCUGCCUAAAAUGGGUGGUAAAUACCGUCUAAAGCUAAAUAUUGGCGAGAGACCGAUAGCGAACAAGUACCGUGAGGGAAAGAUGAAAAGAACUUUGAAAAGAGAGUUAAACAGUACGUGAAAUUGCCAAAAGGGAAACGCUUGAAGU